AUGGCAGCAAACCCUCACAGAAUGUGCCCUCAGGCGCCAAACCUGCAGUCUCAGAAACCACUAACAAGGGACAUGGAUGAAUCUGGAGAACAUCAUUCUCAGCAAACUGACACAAGAACAGAAAAUGAAUCACCGCAUAUUCUCACUCAUAGGAUUGGUGACCCUACAAGAAGAAGAAGAAAUGGAUCCUUCUCUUUCUCUGACCACGCACAAAUGAAAGGCCACGUGAGGACACAAAAAGAUGUCAGUCAACUGUAAGCCCCAAAGAGAGCCUCUACCAGAUCUGGACCAUGCUUAUAUCCUGAUCUCAGACCUUCAGCUUCCUGAACUGUGAGAAAUUUAAUUUCUGUUCUUCAAGCCACCCAGGCUGUGGUAUUUUGUUGUAGCAGCCUAAGCUGACCAAUUCGGGGUAUAAGAUGGCUUUCUCUCUAUUUCAACUAAAAGAGAAUCAAGAAAAUACUUUGUAGUAGGAGGAAAGUAAGUUAGACAUAUGUAGCAUGUAGGGAAAGAAUAUUGGUGUAGAAUGACAGUGUUGAGCUUCUAAUCUUGCUUCAGUCAUCUGUCUGUGUGAUCUUGUCUUGGGCAAGCUUUAAAAGAUGGAAGCCUUUUGGGCAUCUUAAUUUCCCAUUGUCCAAAAUAAAGAAAUUUCAGCAAAAUGUUUUUUCA
rnacentral:lncRNA from 13 species